rnacentral:rRNA from 1 species
CCUACGGGGCGCAGCAGUGAGGAAUAUUGGUCAAUGGCCGGAAGGCUGAACCAGCCAUGCCGCGUGAAGGUCAGUGCCCUAUGGGCGUUAAACUUCUUUUGUGCGGGAGCAAUAAUGGUCACGUGUGGCCAGACGAGAGUACCGUACGAAUAAGCAUCGGCUAACUCCGUGCCAGCAGCCGCGGUAAUACGGGGGAUGCAAGCGUUAUCCGGAUUUAUUGGGUUUAAAGGGUGCGUAGGCUGUGAGGUAAGUCAGCGGUGAAAUGCCCCCGCUCAACGGGGUGAAGUGCCAUUGAUACUGCCUGGCUGGAAUGCGGAUGCCGUGGGAGGAAUGUGUGGUGUAGCGGUGAAAUGCAUAGAUAUCACACAGAACACCGAUUGCGAAGGCAUCUCACGAAUCCGCGAUUGACGCUGAUGCACGAAAGCGUGGGUAUCAAACAGGAUUAGAUACCCGAGUAGUC